rnacentral:rRNA from 1 species
AGUGAAUAGAUACCCCCGGGUAGUCCACGCUGUAAAACCGAUGAGUGCUGGACGUUGGCGGGUUUUACCUGCCGGUGUCGCAGCUAAAACGCGUUAAGCACUCCGCCUGGGGUAGUACGGCCGCAAGGUUAAAAACCUCAAAGGAAUUGACGGGGGUCCCGCACAAGCGGUGGAGCAUGUGGUUUAAAUUCGACGCAACGCGCAGAACCUUACCAGCCCUUGACAUGGGUCGGACGGGGUUCCAGAGAUGGACUCUUUCUCGCAAGAGACCGCUACACAGGUGCUGCGAUGGCUGUCGUCAGCUCGUGUCGU